rnacentral:rRNA from 1 species
UGGGGGAUAUUGCACAAUGGGCGCAAGCCUGAUGCAGCGACGCCGCGUGGGUGAAGAAGUACCUCGGUACGUAAAGCCCUAUCAGCAGGGAAGAAAAUGACGGUACCUGACUAAGAAGCUCCGGCUAAAUACGUGCCAGCAGCCGCGGUAAUACGUAUGGAGCAAGCGUUAUCCGGAUUUACUGGGUGUAAAGGGAGCGUAGGCGGCAUACCAAGCCUGAUGUGAAAACCCGGGGCCCAACCCCGGGAGUGCAUUGGGAACUGGCAAGCUAGAGUGUCGGAGAGGCAGGCGGAAUUCCUAGUG